CGAGAUUCCCCCAGUAGCGGCGAGCGAACGGGGAGCAGCCCAGAGCCUGAAUCAGUGUGUGUGUUAGUGGAAGCGUCUGGAAAGGCGCGCGAUACAGGGUGACAGCCCCGUACACAAAAAUGCACAUACUGUGAGCUCGAUGAGUAGGGCGGGACACGUGGUAUCCUGUCUGAAUAUGGGGGGACCAUCCUCCAAGGCUAAAUACUCCUGACUGACCGAUAGUGAACCAGUACCGUGAGGGAAAGGCGAAAAGAACCCCGGCGAGGGGAGUGAAAAAGAACCUGAAACCGUGUACGUACAAGCAGUGGGAGCACGCUUCGGCGUGUGACUGCGUACCUUUUGUAUAAUGGGUCAGCGACUUAUAUUCUGUAGCAAGGUUAACCGAAUAGGGGAGCCGAAGGGAAACCGAGUCUUAACUGGGCGUUAAGUUGCAGGGUAUAGACCCG
rnacentral:rRNA from 1 species